UACCAGCACCCCGAGUGGUCGGGACGAUUAUUGGGCCUAAAGCAUCCGUAGCCGGUCCUGCAAGUCUUCCGUUAAAUCCACCUGCUUAACAGAUGGGCCGCGGAAGAUACUAUAGAGCUAGGAGGCGGGAGAGGCAAGCGGUACUCGAUGGGUAGGGGUAAAAUCCGUUGAUCCAUUGAAGACCACCAGUGGCGAAGGCGGCUUGCCAGAACGCGCUCGACGGUGAGGGAUGAAAGCUGGGGGAGCAAACCGG
rnacentral:rRNA from 1 species